rnacentral:rRNA from 1 species
CCUACGGGCGGCAGCAGUGGGGAAUAUUGGACAAUGGGCGAAAGCCUGAUCCAGCCAUGCCGCGUGUGUGAAGAAGGCCUUCGGGUUGUAAAGCACUUUCAGUGGGGAAGAAAGCCUUGGGGCUAAUACCCUCGAGGGAGGACAUCACCCACAGAAGAAGCACCGGCUAACUCCGUGCCAGCAGCCGCGGUAAUACGGAGGGUGCGAGCGUUAAUCGGAAUUACUGGGCGUAAAGCGCGCGUAGGCGGUCUGAUAAGCCGGUUGUGAAAGCCCCGGGCUCAACCUGGGAACGGCAUCCGGAACUGUCAGGCUAGAGUGCAGGAGAGGAAGGUAGAAUUCCCGGUGUAGCGGUGAAAUGCGUAGAGAUCGGGAGGAAUACCAGUGGCGAAGGCGGCCUUCUGGACUGACACUGACGCUGAGGUGCGAAAGCGUGGGUAGCAAACAGGAUUAGAUACCCCGGUAGUC